rnacentral:snRNA from 1 species
GGAUGUGCGGGCGGUCUGGCUGCGACAUCUGUCACCGUCGAUCGCCAGGGUUGAUGCAGCUGAUCUGGCUGGCUUGGCCACUAUCUUCUUUCUCCUCCUUCACCGCUCUGUGUGUGUCUCUCUACAUGCUCCACACCAAAUAGAGGAGACCUGGUCUUCCUUCGGUCAAGUGCGUUGGAGUCGCUGUGCUUUCCUGCUAGAAGCUCUGAACAAACGCUUAAGGUCCAAAGCAUGCAACAGAAGCCUGGACCUUCCUUCCCUCCACUGAUAGCUUUACUUGUUUACAUCACAUA